rnacentral:miRNA from 1 species
GGGAUAAGAACAAAAAU